rnacentral:lncRNA from 1 species
UUUGGUUAUUUGGGUUCUUUCUCUCCUCUUUUUAGUGAGUCUGGCCAGGGGUUUGUCAAUUUUGUUCACCUUUUCAAAGAACCAGCUCUUGGUUUUAUUAAUUUUCUCUAUUGUUUUUUGAGUCUCUAUUUUAUUGAUUUCUUCUUUGAUCUUUAUAAUUUCCUUCCUUCUGCUGACUUUAGGUUUUGUUUAUUCUUCUUUUUCUACUUCAUUUAGGUGGUGGGUUAAGUUGUCAAUUUGAGAUUUUUCUUCUUUUUUGAGGAAGGCCUAUAUUGCUCUGAAUUUCCCUCUGAGCACUGCUUUUGUGGUAUCCCAUAGAUUUUGAGUGAUUGUGUCUUCAUUAUCAUUUUUCUCAAGGUUUUUUUAAAUUACCUUCUUGAUUUCCUCAUUGACCCAUUGGUUUUUAGUACCAUGUUGUUUAGUCUCCAUGUAGGAAGUUUUUUCUCACUUCUUUUCCUGUGGUUGAUUUCUAGUUUCAUGCCAUUGUGGUUAGAGAAGAUAUUUGAAAUAAUUUCUAUACUCUUAAAUUUGUUGAGGUUAGCUUUGUGCCUGAAUAUAUGGACAGUCCUUGAGAAUGUUCCAUGUGCACUUGAGAAAAAUGUAUAUUUUGUUUUUUUUUUUUUUUUUGGAUGUAAUGUCCUGAAAAUGUCAUUUAAGUCUAAGUUUUCUAUUGUGUCCUUUAGGAUCUCUGUUGCCUUAUUGAUUUUUGUCUAGAGGAUCUGUCCAUGGAUGUGAGUGGGGUGUUAAAGUCUCCUACUAUGAUUAUAUUCCCAUCAAUUUCUCUUUUUAUGUAUGUUAGUAUUUGAUGUAUGUAUAUGGGUGCUCCUAUAUUAGGGGCAUAUACAUUGAUGAUUGUAAUAUCCUCUUCUUGAAUGGAUCCUUUUACCAUUAAAUAGUGUCCUCUUUGUCUUUAUGGCCUUCAUUUUAAAAUCUAUUUUGUCUGAUAUGAGUAUUGCAACUCCUGCUUUACUGUCUUGUCCAUUGGCAUGAAAUAUCUUUUCCCAUCCCCUCACUUUCAAUCUAUAUGUGUCCUUUGCCCUAAGAUGAGCCUCUUAGACAGCAGAUUGUAGGUUUUUGCUUUUUUAUGCAAUCUGCCACUCUGUGUCUUUUGAUUGAAAUUUCAGUCCAUUGACAUUUAUGGUAAUUAUUGAUAAACAUGUAUUUAUUGCCCUUUUCAACCUUGUUGUCCAGUUGAUUCUAUGUUUCUCCUUUCUUCCUUUCUUUUUUUGGUUGGAUUAUUUCCACUUAUUUUAUGUUUGUGCACUUUUCUUUUUGGUCCUUCUGAAUGUAAUGUUGGUUUUGUUUUGGGUUGCCCUGUUUUUUAAGUAUGUUAACCCCUUCCUAUACCUGCUUGCUUUAGCCUGAUAGUCAUAUAGGCUCACAUUAUUUAAAAAAAAAAAAAA